GCGCUUUGGCAGCACAUAUACUAAAAUUGGAACGGUACAGAGAAGAUUAGCAUGGCCCCUGCACAAGGAUGACACGCAAAUUCAUGAAGCGUUCCAUAUUUUU
rnacentral:snRNA from 1 species